rfam:Harpegnathos saltator strain R22 G/1 HarSal_1.0_1.contig3639, whole genome shotgun sequence.
GCUUUGGUAGCUCAGUUGGUAGAGACGUCGCCCGGCGAGCGAAAGGUCCCGGGUUCGAUUCCCGGCCCAGCA